GCCCGCGUAGCCCAAUCAGCAGAGGCACCGGCUUCAAACACCGGCCAGUGCGGGUGCAAGUCCCGCCGUGGGCACCA
rnacentral:tRNA from 1 species